UGUCUCCUAAGUUCAUGUUCACAUUAGCUAACAACUUUGUUGAUGGGGCUCUCUGCUGAUUGAUAGACCUUUUUCACAGAAGCCAUUGACAUGAACUAAACACAGGUGUUACUAAUGACAUUAAUUAAGGUUCUACCCCUUUUAAGGCUUUGUUCAGACUGCAAGCAAAUCAGAUUUGUUUCUCAAGUCAGACUGUCCACACUUAUUUACAAGUGAUCAGAUUGGAUUUGUGUCUCCAGACAUCACCAACCUGUCUGCACGGGUUUCUAUGGUAACGACGUAGGUGUCAGUAACUACGUAUGCUGGUGGCACUGUUUUCCAACACAGACGCAGGAGAAAUGUACAGAGGCCUCCAAACCAAUGUGCCAGCAGAAAAUAUAUUUAAGCGUCUGUCCACAAACUGUUGUUUUCUGUGUUGUAGUAGCAGCAGGGAUUAUUUAAUUCUACUUAGCUGUCCUGAUGCACCCCUGUCACUCUGGAUUUGACAUUGUCCUUGUGUGUCGUGUUGCAAGUGACAUGAAAGACAGUUUGAAAUCCUGUUUGAAUAUAGACAUGAUGCACCAAGCAGGUAGAAGCAAAUAAUAGUACAGCUGCAGCAGUCUGUUAAGAUCAGAAAACUGCAUCAAUUUACUGUAAUGCAGCUUUUCAACCAGGAAAGACAACACAAACAACAUGACAUAACAAUAUCCAGAUAAUAUCUGCUUAUGCCCCAAUACUGGCAUAAUAUCAAUAGCCCCAGUCAGGGGCACAGAUUGCAUUUGUAUAUUGGUGUCAUGCAAUUAAGAUUUCUUUACAGGCCUAUAACACAAAAGCUAAUUUUCUAGCAUUAAUAAAA